rnacentral:rRNA from 1 species
CCUACGGGGGGCUGCAGUGGGGAAUAUUGGACAAUGGGGGGAACCCUGAUCCAUCCAUGCCGCGUGUGUGAAGAAGGCCCUCGGGUUGUAAAGCACUUUCAGUGAGGAAGAACGCCUGGUGGUUAAUACCCAUCAGGAAAGACAUCACUCACAGAAGAAGCACCGGCUAACUCCGUGCCAGCAGCCGCGGUAAUACGGAGGGUGCGAGCGUUAAUCGGAAUUACUGGGCGUAAAGCGCGCGUAGGUGGCUUGAUAAGCCGGUUGUGAAAGCCCCGGGCUCAACCUGGGAACGGCAUCCGGAACUGUCAAGCUAGAGUGCAGGAGAGGAAGGUAGAAUUCCCGGUGUAGCGGUGAAAUGCGUAGAGAUCGGGAGGAAUACCAGUGGCGAAGGCGGCCUUCUGGACUGACACUGACACUGAGGUGCGAAAGCGUGGGUAGCAAACAGGAUUAGAUACCCCAGUAGUC